rnacentral:rRNA from 1 species
UACGAAGGGGGCUAGCGUUGUUCGGAAUUACUGGGCGUAAAGCGCGCGCAGGCGGCUAUCCAAGUCAGUGGUGAAAGCCCGGAGCUCAACUCCGGAACUGCCAUUGAAACUGUUUAGCUUGAGGACGAGAGAGGUGAGUGGAAUUCCCAGUGUAGAGGUGAAAUUCGUAGAUAUUGGGAAGAACACCGGUGGCGAAGGCGGCUCACUGGCUCGUUUCUGACGCUCAGGCGCGAUAGCGUGGGGAGCAAACAGG